AUCUCUUUGAAUGAUGUAUGCGUGAAAAUAUUAUGUCGAUGAAAUGUCCCCUUCAUUUGUAAAUAGCUCAACAAAAGGGAAAUUUCCGUAACUUAACAACACUGCUUGGAAAUAUAAACAAAGUGUCAAAAAAUGCAGAGACUAUAAAAUGAAGUGAAGUGAAUUACAAAAUAUGCAGCUAUUGUAUAUUACGUGCGUUCAUAAAAGCGAGCUACGCAGUUGCUACGAAGCUCUGCAAUUGGUUAUUUGUGCACAAGUUGGAGCGUUUUGCAAUGGCUUGGAUAAUAAGUGCAACCCCGCUACCUGAUCGUCCUCGCCAGCGAUAUACUCGAAAGCGACAAACACACCCCGCUAUUUCAAGGAUCAACGCGAUGCAAGCACAUUUCGCUUUACCUCCAUUGCUCCAUCCAGCCAAAAUAAGGUUCGUUUGAACUUACACCAGACACAGUGACGUAAAAUGGGACGCAUGCUUCGCAAAACAUCUUCCGAAUGAAAUGAGGGAUGCAACCGGCAAGGAUACUACAGUUUCUAAUUCGGUUUCUAUAUUCCCAGCAGAGACCUACGUUCGCAUCACAACGCCAUCAACUCCAGAAUCGGCUCCAAAUAAUGCAAUCGCUUUAUAGUGCAUGAAUGCAGCAGAAGCCAUUACUCCUAACCUAAUCCUAAUGUGACGCAAUGUUAAAGAGCCCCCACAUGCAAUUUAAUUAAAAAAAUUUCUGCAAAAUCGAUGACAAUUAAUACCAUUUGAUUAAACUCCCUUCUUUUUUUAUCGAAAUAUGCAUUACAUAUAGAGUUUAAUAAAGGCAUUAAUUGCCAUCGAUUAUGCAGAAAUUGUUUUAAAUUAAAAUGCAUAAAAAUUACAAAUUUCUUUUAGUUAUAAAUUCCUAAAAAAAAAUUAAAUUUUUUUACAAAAAUUUCUGUUUUGUGUACGGCCUUGUGCGAGUGCAGAAUACAUGUACGAAGUUCACAAAGUUGUAAGCCAAGGCUUUUUUUUUGGAAAUGGUUAAAAAUUCUUGUUGUUAAUGCUAAGUAGAAGAAAGGUAAUUUAAUUACUUUUCUGUUUGUUACAAAUUCUUUCAAAAAAAUAAACUUUUUUUCCAAAAUUUCUAUGUUUUGUGAACGGCCUUGUGCGAGUGUUCACAAAGUUGUAAGCCAAGGCUUUUUUUUGGGUAAAUGGUUAAAAAUUCUUGUUGUUAAUGUUAAUUACAGUAAAGGUAGUCCUUUUAUUUUUCUUCUAGAUAUAAAUUAUUUUAAAUAAAUUCACUUUUGUUAUAAAAAUUUUAAAGUUUUGUGUACUGCCAUAUGCGAGUGUAAAAUACAAAGUUGUUAGCCAAGGCUUGUUUAACACAAAAUUUUUGAGAAUCAUGAAUGGUUACACAUAUUAAAAUAAAGGAAAUUUAAUUUAAUUCAGUUGGUCAUAAAUUUUUUUAAAAAAAGAAACUUUUAUUGUAAAAAUUUUGAAGUUUUGUAUACUGCAUACAAUGGUACCCGCAAGGGAUGAGUCGAGACUAAUUGAUCUCCAUUAGUACCCGUAUGAGACUAGUUGCGACUAAUUAAUGCCCAACUGUA